rnacentral:rRNA from 1 species
UACAGAGGUCCCGAGCGUUGUUCGGAUUCACUGGGCGUAAAGGGUGCGUAGGUGGUGAGGAAAGUCGGAUGUGAAAUCUCCGAGCUCAACUCGGAAAUGGCAUUGGAAACUACCUUGCUCGAGGGUUGGAGGGGGGACUGGAAUACUUGGUGUAGCAGUGAAAUGCGUAGAUAUCAGGAGGAACACCGGUGGCGAAGGCGGUGGUCUGGGCCGUAACUGAUGCUGAGGAGCGAAAGCGUGGGUAGCAAACAGG